AGUCUUGGGAGAGGACAAGACCUGCAUUUCAUUGCCCUAGGAAGAAGGGCAGCUCUUGGCAACUCAACUCAGAGAAAGGGGAUGGGUGAGUAGUACUGCAGCCUGUGACCCUGCCAAGAAAUGCGUGCCCAUACCUCAGCCUACCUUGUCUUCUGAAACUGCAGAGUGUUUGGCAUCCAGUUUACAAAAUCAACAGAAAUUCUGUGAACACUAAGUAUAUUUCUGGUGUUGGAAACUGGAAAGAGUUAAAGAUAUUCAAAUGCUCUGUGGAACUGUAGGUGAUCAAUAUGAAAACUGCUGCACAACAGUCAGCUAGUGAAAAACUAAUAAAAGGCAAUCAAUGCCACCAAAGAUAACUGUCAUUCACCAGAAAUACAGAAACUUUCACUUUGGAGAGAAAAAUCCUUUCAGGCUCCUGGGACACGUCUUGCUACAGGCAGCUUCAUGAUGGAAGAAGCCUGGAGUAUAUGCCAUCCCCUUGAGAAACCCUACUGCUUCCUGGAAGGAAAACUGGCUGCAAGUUUACAGUGUGCUCCGAUAGGGUCCCAGGAGUAAAGGCUGACUGCAAGUGAACUUCAGGCUGUACUAAUCCAUCUGCUCGUUUUCUUGACUUCAAUGUAGUGGUUGCUGUCAAAAACAUUUUUUUUAGAAAGAUACGCCAGUCUUUCCAGUUGGAAGGUGCGUAUGUGUGUAUAUCUCUCU